rnacentral:rRNA from 1 species
GGUCUAGUGGCGGACGGGUGAGUAACGCGUGGGAAUUUGCCUUUCGGUGCGGGACAACCAAGGGAAACUUUGGCUAAUACCGCAUACGCCCUACGGGGGAAAGCAGGGGAUCUUCGGACCUUGCACUAUUGGAUGAGCCUGCGUUGGAUUAGCUAGUUGGUGAGGUAAAGGCUCACCAAGGCGACGAUCCAUAGCUGGUCUGAGAGGAUGAUCAGCCACACUGGAACUGAGACACGGUCCAGACUCC